rnacentral:rRNA from 1 species
GCAUAUCAAUAAGCGGAGGAAAAGAAACCAACAGGGAUUACCUCAGUAACGGCGAGUGAAGCGGUAACAGCUCAAAUUUGAAAGCUGGCCCUCUCAGGGUCCGCGUUGUAAUUUGCAGAAGAUGCUUCGGGCGUCGCCCCGGUCUAAGUUCCUUGGAACAGGACGUCAUAGAGGGUGAGAAUCCCGUACGUGACUGGGUGCGGUCGCCCGUGUGAAGCUCUUUCGACGAGUCGAGUUGUUUGGGAAUGCAGCUCUAAAUGGGUGGUAUAUUUCAUCUAAAGCUAAAUACUGGCCAGAGACCGAUAGCGCACAAGUAGAGUGAUCGAAAGAUGAAAAGCACUUUGGAAAGAGAGUUAAACAGUACGUGAAAUUGUUGAAAGGGAAGCGCUUGCAACCAGACUUGCGCGCCGACGCUCAUCCGGGCUUCUGCCCGGUGCACUCGUCAGCGCGCAGGCCAGCAUCGGUUCUGGUGGUGGGAUAAAGGCCGGGGGAACGUAGCUCCCCUCGGGGAGUGUUAUAGCCCCCGGUGCCAUGCCGCCUACCGGGACCGAGGACCGCGCUCCGGCUAGGAUGCUGGCGUAAUGGUUGUAAGCGACCCGUCUUGAAACACGGACCAAGGAGUCUAACAUCUAUGCGAGUGUUUGGGUGUCAAACCCCGGCGCGGAAUGAAAGUGAACGGAGGUGAGAACCCUUCAGGGUGCAUCAUCGACCGAUCCUGAUGUCUUCGGAUGGAUUUGAGUAGGAGCAUAGCUGUUGGGACCCGAAAGAUGGUGAACUAUGCGUGAAUAGGGUGAAGCCAGAGGAAACUCUGGUGGAGGCUCGCAGCGGUUCUGACGUGCAAAUCGAUCGUCAAAUUUGCGUAUAGGGGCGAAAGACUAAUCGAACCAUCUAGUAGCUGGUUCCUGCCGAA